rnacentral:rRNA from 1 species
AGACGUCUACAUUAGAUACCCGUGUAGUCCCAGCCGUAAACUAUGCGCGUUAGGUGCAUCGGUGACCACGAGUCACCGAGGUGCCGAAGGGAAACCGUGAAACGUGCCGCCUGGGAAGUACGGUCGCAAGGCUGAAACUUAAAGGAAUUGGCGGGGGAGCACCGCAACGGGAGGAGCGUGCGGUUUAAUUGGAUUCAACACCGUAAACUCACCAGGGAAGACUGUUACAUGAAGGCCGAGAUGAAGACUCUGCUAGAUUUUCAG